UUGUAAAGCACUUUCAGUAGGGAGGAAGGUAGUGUAGUUAACACCUGCACUAUUUGACGUUACCUACAGAAGAAGCACCGGCUAACUCCGUGCCAGCAGCCGCGGUAAUACGGAGGGUGCGAGCGUUAAUCGGAAUUACUGGGCGUAAAGCGCAUGCAGGCGGCCUGUUAAGUCAGAUGUGAAAGCCCGGGGCUUAACCUCGGAAUUGCAUUUGAAACUGGCAGGCUAGAGUCUUGUAGAGGGGGGUAGGAAUUUCAGGUGUAGCGGUGAAAUGCGUAGAGAUCUGAAGGAAUACCAGUGGCGAAGGCGGCCCCCUGGACAAAGACUGACGCUCAGAUGCGAAAGCGUGGGGAGCAAACAGGAUUAGAUACCCUGGUAG
rnacentral:rRNA from 1 species